rnacentral:lncRNA from 1 species
UGCCGCCGUCCACUAAAACAUAGCUGCACUUUCCUUGGGCUGGAGCCUCGGCACACAUUUAUUUACAUAGGGUGAAUUUCCUGUCCCUUCUGGCUGGAGCUGGGGGGGAGCUGUGGCCUGGAAGAGGAUGAAGACAUGGAGACUUUCCUGGUGCUGUUAAAGGCUGGAGAAGAGCUGCAAAAAGAGGGCAGAGAGAGGGUGAAGGACAGAAGCUGGAGCACAGGUUGAAGUCAAACAGCUCAGGACUGGCCCUGGAUGGAUUCCCCACCCUCAAGGGAAGUGCUUCUACUUACUGCAGAACCCAAAUCCCUCAAAAC